UAGGUCAUCACUUCUGGAAUGGGUAAUGACUUAAACCUAUAUGGCCCCUGGAUUGGACUGCGGCCGAUCAGGCUGUUGGUGAGGUAAUGGCCCACCAAACCUGUAACCGGUACGGGCUCUGAGAGGAGGAGCCCGGAGAUGGGCACUGAGACAAGGGCCCAGGCCCUAUGGGGCGCAGCAGGCGCGAAACCUCUGCAAUAGGCGAAAGCUUGACAGGGUUACUCUGAGUGAUUUCCGUUAAGGAGAUCUUUUGGCACCUCUAAAAAUGGUGCAGAAUAAGGGGUGGGCAAGUCUGGUGU
rnacentral:rRNA from 1 species